rnacentral:rRNA from 1 species
CCUACGGGAGGCUGCAGUGGGGGAUAUUGCACAAUGGGGGAAACCCUGAUGCAGCGACGCCGCGUGGGUGAAGAAGUAUUUCGGUAUGUAAAGCCCUAUCAGCAGGGAAGAAAGAAGACGGUACCUGACUAAGAAGCCCCGGCUAACUACGUGCCAGCAGCCGCGGUAAUACGUAGGGGGCGAGCGUUAUCCGGAUUCACUGGGUGUAAAGGGAGCGUAGACGGCCGUGCAAGCCAGGAGUGAAAGCCCGGGGCCCAACCCCGGGACUGCUCUUGGAACUGUGCGGCUGGAGUGCGGGAGGGGCAGGCGGAAUGCCUGGUGUAGCGGUGAAAUGCGUAGAUAUCAGGAGGAACACCGGCGGCGAAGGCGGCCUGCUGGACCGCGACUGACGUUGAGGCUCGAAAGCGUGGGGAGCGAACAGGAUUAGAUACCCCAGUAGUC